rnacentral:rRNA from 1 species
UGGGGAAUAUUGGACAAUGGGCGAAAGCCCGAUCCAGCCAUGCCGCGUGUGUGAAGAAGGUCUUCGGAUUGUAAAGCACUUUAAGUUGGGAGGAAGGGCAGUUACCUAAUACGUAAUUGUUUUGACGUUACCGACAGAAUAAGCACCGGCUAACUCUGUG